rnacentral:lncRNA from 1 species
CACGCAAAUUGGGGCGGGCCUAGUGCGGAAAGAUACCGGAAGUGUUUCUGUGGCCAUCUUGAACAGAUCGCAAGCUAAAUCAUCCAUCUUAGGAGGUACAGACUACAGGGGGCCGUGGCUUCCUCUUAACCGCGGCAGCUGCUGAUAAAUACUGUACUAUUAACAGUGAGGCCCGGCGUAAUUUCCUUAUUAGAGGGCUUCUUUACGUCUCUUCAUCCCAAACUGGGAAAUGAUGCUGUUGACUGGGGCAAAGAAUAAUGGGAGAAAAACAGCUGGGUCCUAAAUAACAGAGGGAAACCAACUUUCAAUAAAGUAUUCAACAACUAAUCCACAAAGCAGAUAACUGAACUUGCUGGCCUGCUCUAUAGUGCUGUUGCUUAAAAAGUCAUCUGUGAAGAAAACCAGAGGGAGAAAUUUCACCUGCCAAAGUGGAUAAAGAGAUUGCAGGUGAGGAUAUUGUGGCUCAGAGAAGUAAUUCGACUUGUCCAACAUCAUAUGCAAUUGGUGGUGGAGCUAAGGCAAGAAAGAUACUGACAUUUAAUGAACAUAAACUAUGCAAUGUACUGUAGUGCAUGUCUUAUUUACAAUCACAAUCACUAACUAGAUUUUGUUAUUUUAGGGAUAAGGAAACAGAUGCUGAGGGAAGCUAGAAAAAUGGCCAAAAUUAAAUAGCUAAGAGAUGGCAAAGUGGAAUUCAGAGUUUAAGCAUAGGUGUUCUGAUUCCCAAUAUUUUUAUCUUUUUACUAUGCCACAUUGUUGGGUAAAUUUCUGAGUUCACUUAUUCUAAGUAGAGGAAGGGAAUAAGAGAGAGUGGGAUGGGCAAGUCUCUUUGCCUCCCAUUAGAGUGAGAAAGAGUUAGGAUACAUGCAGAAAAUUAGCAAACUGAGAAGUCCAGUUGGGGGAAUUAAGAAAAUUACCCUUGUUGGUAUAAUAUGUCAGACUGGGUUCCUCUGAUUACUUUGCACACACACACACACUUGCACACAUGCACACACACACACUCUACAUACCCUUUAUCAUGUGGUCACCAGGCCAUUUUUGCUUAGGUGAGAUUAUAUUAACUGCUUCCCCCCAU